rnacentral:rRNA from 1 species
CCCUUAGAUGUUCUGGGCCGCACGCGCGCUACACUGAACAGUUCAACAAGUCUUAACCUUGGCCGAUAGGUCUGGGCAAUCUUUGAACGCUGGUCGUGAUGGGGAUAGACUUUUGCAAUUUUUGGUCUUCAACGAGGAAUUCCUAGUAAACGCAAGUCAUCAACUUGCAUUGAUUACGUCCCUGCCCUUUGUACACACCGCCCGUCGCACCUACCGAUUGAAUGGUCCGGUGAAGCCUCCGGAUUGGCGCGCACCUCGGUGCCGCCGAGAAGUUGGCUAAACCUUACCAUUUAGAGGAAGGUGAAGUCGUAACA